AGAGUUUGAUUCAUGGCUCAGGAUGAACGCUAGCGGCAGGCUUAACACAUGCAAGUCGAGGGGUAUUUAUUUUCGGAUAGAGAGACCGGCGCACGGGUGCGUAACGCGUAUGCAAUCUACCUUUUACAGAGGGAUAGCCCAGAGAAAUUUGGAUUAAUACCUCAUAGUAUAAUGACUCGGCAUCGAGAUAUUAUUAAAGUCACAACGGUAAAAGAUGAGCAUGCGUCCCAUUAGCUAGUUGGUAAGGUAACGGCUUACCAAGGCUACGAUGGGUAGGGGUCCUGAGAGGGAGAUCCCCCACACUGGUACUGAGACACGGACCAGACUCCUACGGGAGGCAGCAGUGAGGAAUAUUGGACAAUGGGCGCAAGCCUGAUCCAGCCAUGCCGCGUGCAGGAUGACGGUCCUAUGGAUUGUAAACUGCUUUUAUACGAGAAGAAACACUGCUUCGUGAAGCAGCUGACGGUAUCGUAGAAUAAGAUCGGC
rnacentral:rRNA from 1 species